rnacentral:rRNA from 1 species
AAUCCUGGCUCAGGAUGAACGCUGGCGGCGUGCCUAACACAUGCAAGUCGAGCGAAGCACUUUGCUUAGAUUCUUCGGAUGAAGAGGAUUGUGACUGAGCGGCGGACGGGUGAGUAACGCGUGGGUAACCUGCCUCAUACAGGGGGGAUAACAGUUAGAAAUGACUGCUAAUACCGCAUAAGACCACAGCACCGCAUGGUGCGGGGGUAAAAACGUCCGGUGGUAUGAGAUGGACCCGGCGU